CGGGCCGAGGUCAUGCCCGCCUGCCCCCAGCGCCGGGCGGCCCCCUCGUCGGGCCAGGCGGCCGCUCGAGAGCCGGGCUGGGGAAGGGGCCCGCGGCGGAGUUGGCUCGGGGACUCACCAGAGCCAAGCCCAGAGUGGUCAGUAACUAUGAGGGAGAGAACAAACAAGUGAGGACACAAGAAGAAGAAACCCUUCAUCACUGGAGCUGCCCAACAGGAUCCACAAGCAGAAGAGCAGAGGAGCAGAAGAGCUGCACAGCAGAGGAGAGAAGAGAAGGAGCGUCUGAAUGUCGAGAGGAGUGCAGCUGGGGACAGUUGGAGAGGGGAUCGGCUGCCGGAUGGCUGAACUCCAGGGAGAGAUAUUCGUUCUACUCCAUCCCCUCUCCAGCUCCCUAUCUAUCCCACUGAGACCCACCCCUAUCCGGCAAUACAAUUUCCCGCAAUUACCAUCCUUAAAUUUGUCCAUGUGACCUGAUUCUUCCUGGAUGCUGGAAGAGGAUCUGGGUACCAAGAGGGCAGUGAGCUGGUUAACACUCAAGCCAUCAGUGGAUGGCAGAGCUAAAAGAGCAUUGUAACACACCCAGUGGGGCUUUGGGAGUCACAGGCACCCACCCCUAGAUGUUACUGUGGGGCCAAAGCCCAAAAGCGCUCGCCCUGGCUCCUGCACCUGCCCAGAUGCAUGCUCCCCCUCCCGUAAGGGGUUUGAGCCAUGAUAGUGGCUGAACACACAAGCCACACCCCUGUCACACAUCCUGCAAUGGGGGUCAGGGAACUCUCCCAUUUCAGUAGCAUUUUGGUCACUGCCUAUACUCAAAUGAACUCCUAAAUGCCCAGAUUUGGGUCUCUAUUUCUCACCCUCACUAGAAGGAACUAGCACUCCUGGAUCACACAUAUACAUGCAGUAGCAUGAACCCAGAGUACCCUAUUGUUUCCAGAAAGGAAAGAUAGUUUCAAAAAUGCCAGAGACAGUGCUGAAAGGACAAAGGAGCCAGCUUCAAGGUCUCCUGCUGGCCAAGUUAUAAUUUGAGCAUCAAAAAAGGUAUAAUAAUUGCAGUUAACUGAAAUAUGAUGAGUUUGUAAAAGGCCAAAAUUUUAUAAUGAUAUUCAGAGAAAAGUUAAUAUAUAUUAAAGGUAAUUAGAAUGAACAUAGAAAUUUGGCUAUCAUGGGAUAUGUUUAAUUUUUUAUUAAUUUUAAUGAGGAAGUUAAUAUAAAUUAGUUUUUUAUUUCUUCUAUUAACUCUGUUUGAUUUUAAAAUAUAGACAUAAAACUCAUGUCAAGCUGCAUAACUAGAGAAGAGGCAGUACAGGAAACAGUUAGCCAAAUUGCCCAGGGAAAAUAUACAGAAACUCUAUCAAGAACAGGAGGGUCUUCCAAGCACCAGUGGCCACACACAAUAACUAGAAAAAGGAUCAAAACUGUGUUCCAAGAUGAUGAAGUCAACAAAUAUCUUAAAAAGGAGAAUGCAUUGUACUACCCCGGUUCUACCUGUCCUGAGAGAUGAAACCUCUGGAUGGUCUCACUCAGGAUGAGGCACUACUGAGGCAGCCAUACAUUUUAAAUAACAUCAAUAGACCAGACCCAGUUAUCAUAAUGACAGGACAAUGGGUUAUGUCAUGGUAGCCAAGACAGACAUCAAUGUUUGAUCGGGAAAUUCCAGGCUACUAAAAACUAAAAUCCAUGGGGAAAAUGUAGACUUUAUUUUUAAUUGAUAUGAAAAGUCAAGAUUAACUUAAGAAGAAAGUUUCAGCCUGGUGUCCAUUGUUUGGAUUUAGAUAGUCUUCAGAGAAAUAAUCUGACCUCCUGCCCUAACCAAGAAUCAAUGCUUCAACCAGAUCCUACGACCUUGGCUGUCUUAAGUUUAUAUUCCUUUUCUUUUUGGUCUGGAAUACUGUAAACUUGAGAUUUUUAAUUAAGUACUGCUAUAAUCUUAGAUAGUAUAGGCGUAGUAUAAAAAAUUAAGAAAUGGGGAAGAAAACAAGAUGUUGACAUUUUAGGAAUAGACAUAGGUAUUAGUAACAUUUUUCAUAAUCAUUGUAUUUGUGUAUGUCUUGUAGUUUGAUGUGUUUGAGUGCUUAAAGGGAUGGCAUGGAAAACAGGGACUAAAAAGUUGUCCUUUAAAACAAAUGACACAGAAGAAUUUUUAUUGAGUCUUUCAAGAUUAGUUUCUAUUGCAUUGAGAGCAGAACAGACUGUAGUGGGUUGAGGAGCAGAUGGAAAUGGUUAAGAC
rnacentral:lncRNA from 1 species